rnacentral:misc_RNA from 1 species
CUGCAUCAUGCCAGGUGCAGGACCACCAACGCCACGGACAGGACCCGCAAGACCAGGCUGGGCCUGAACGAGAGGAGCAGUGGGAAUCCCACGGCCAGCUGCGCGGCCAAUGCCGGGGCCAGCAACGGCAGUAGCGGAAACAGCCUUAGCGCGAGACUCUUCAGGAGGAGGGGGGCCCUCAACAGUCAUGGAAAUCACCUCUUCGCCACGGAGAAGAACGAGGCCAAGAGUGCGACGAUCCUCCCGCUCCUCGUUGUUCUUUUUGCCCUUGGCAGGUGGAAGCUUGCGAAACUCCUCGCAGUCUCCGAG